UUAAUAAAUUGUUAUAAAUAAGUUCUGACUUGAUCAAGAGCUUAAUAAAUAAUCAUAAAAUAUAAUAAACUGUAUUCAUUCCUCUAGGUUCUUAGAUUUGUCUGACACAUAUGUAUUGUUUUAUGUACAGUAUACAAUCAUAAGCACAAGCCCAAAAAAAGGAAAAUAAUUACUGUAUACUAUAUUGGUGAAAAAAUUAGAUAAAAUCAGAAUAAGUUUGUUUCAUUCUAACUGCCCUCUCAAUUUUAGAUAUAGAUACUAACAAUUAAUGUUAACUGCCCUCUCAAUUUUAGAUAAAGAUACUUAGCAAUUAAUGUUACAUUAACUGAAGGAUUUUAUUUAAUGAUUCAGAAAUGCCUAAUAUAUGUCAUAAGCUAUGAUAGAGCCCUUUAAUCAUGUUAACAAGCAAUAUUAAUCGAUUUAGUAUUCAAUAAUUUAUAAAGAGAAGUUUAUUGCAGCAUAAGAAUAAAUUGUAACAUUUAAAAAAGCCGCGCUACGCCACAACCGAGUUUUAGUUGAGGGCAUGAUGCCAUGAUCAAGAGAUGGCGCGCAUUCUGACGGGUUGGAUGAUGUUUUUUUUAAUGACCACUGGCGGUGAUUAUCAGCGGAGUGCCGUGGAAGAUGGCACCUUGGAUUGUGUGAUAUUGCAGACGUCAUGGCCGCGUUAUAGUGGUUAACUGCAUGGCGACGCCUGAGCGAUUGACAAUUUCCUUCUCGUCGUGCUGACUUAUUUUAUAAACAUAUUGGUGUCUUCUGUGUAAAUUCCUACGACAGUUGUUUCGUGGCCAUGACUGAAGCGCGGAAAUUAAUGUAGGAGAUGAUAACGUGAGGGAGGAAGUGGAUUUUCCCAUCUGCACCGGGCAGAAGGAAUGGCACUUGUAGCAAUGGGAUACAGCACUUCAUUCUAAAG